UCAGUACCUUCAUAUUGACCAUCUGUCAAAGAUAUACGAAAUAUAGGGCUAAAUACCGAUGUAAUUGCAUCAAAAGAAAAUGCAUGUGACACAGCUGGCUCGCACAACUCAGGAAAAUUUUCCACGUGGAUUUCGGAUGCAGAUGCAAGCAAGAGAACAGCGUCAUCAAAUUGUCAAUUUUUCAACAGAGCACAAAAGAUAAGACCAUAAUCUAGAAAGAGACGCUAGAGACCAGAAUUAGCUAACGCGUGGAAGUCGUCGUGUCGCGGGUGAGUGACGACACGCGUGCCUGUUGAACGAGGUUCAUCCGAGGUCAUUCGGCACGUCUUCAUGCACGAGUGUCGCAACAUUUUCUUCACGAUGUUCUCCGGGAUGGAGGAAUAAUC